rnacentral:rRNA from 1 species
AUUGAACACUGGCGGCAUGCCUUACACAUGCAAGUCGAACGGUAACAGGUCUUCGGAUGCUGACGAGUGGCGAACGGGUGAGUAAUACAUCGGAACGUGCCCGAUCGUGGGGGAUAACGAGGCGAAAGCUUUGCUAAUACCGCAUACGAUCUACGGAUGAAAGCGGGGGAUCUUCGGACCUCGCGCGGACGGAGCGGCCGAUGGCAGAUUAGGUAGUUGGUGGGAUAAAAGCUUACCAAGCCGACGAUCUGUAGCUGGUCUGAGAGGAUGAUCAGCCACACUGGGACUGAGACACGGCCCAGACUCCUACGGGAGGCAGCAGUGGGGAAUUUUGGACAAUGGGCGAAAGCCUGAUCCAGCCAUGCCGCGUGCAGGAUGAAGGCCUUCGGGUUGUAAACUGCUUUUGUACGGAACGAAAAGCCUCUUUCUAAUAAAGAGGGGUCAUGACGGUACCGUAAGAAUAAGCACCGGCUAACUACGUG